AGGUAGAAUACCCGCUGAACUUUAAGCAUAUCAAUAAGCGGAGAAAAGAAACCAACAGGGAUUGCCCUAGUAACGGCGAGUAAGCGGCAACAGCUCAAAUUUGAAAUCUGGCUUCGGCCCGAGUUGUAAUUUGCAGAGGAUGUUUAUGGUGCGGUACCUACCGAGUUCCCUGGAACGGGACGCCACAGAGGGUGAGAGCCCCGUCUGGUAGGAUACCAAACCUGUGUUAAACUCCUUCAACGAGUCGAGUAGUUUGGGAAUGCUGCUCUAAAUGGGAGGUAAAUCUCUUCUAAAGCUAAAUAUUGGCCAGAGACCGAUAGCGCACAAGUAGAGUGAUCGAAAGAUGAAAAGCACCUUGAAAAGGGGGUUAAACAGUACGUGAAAUUGUUGAAAGGGAAGCGUUUAUGACCAGACUUGUGCCGUGUGGCUCAUCCGAGGUUCUCCCCGGUGCACUCCACACGGCUCAGGCCAACAUCGGUUCUCGUUGGGGGAUAAGAACAGUAGGAACGUGGCCCUCUUCGGAGGGUGUUAUAGCCUAUUGUACGAUACUCUGACGGGGACCGAGGACCGCGCUUCGGCUAGGAUGUUGG
rnacentral:rRNA from 1 species